rnacentral:rRNA from 1 species
AGAGUUUGAUCCUGGCUCAGGAUGAACGCUAGCUACAGGCUUAACACAUGCAAGUCGAGGGGAAACGAUAUUGGAAGCUUGCUUCCGAUAGGCGUCGACCGGCGCACGGGUGAGUAACGCGUAUCCAACCUGCCCACCACUUGGGGAUAACCUUGCGAAAGUAAGACUAAUACCCAAUGACGUCUCUAGAAGACAUCUGAAAGAGAUUAAAGAUUUAUCGGUGAUGGAUGGGGAUGCGUCUGAUUAGCUUAUUGGCGGGGUAACGGCCCACAAGGGCUACGGAUCGGUAGGGGGUUCUGGAGAGGAAGGUCCCCCACAUUGGGAAACUGAGACACGGUCCAAACUCCUACGGGAGGCA